rnacentral:rRNA from 1 species
CGGCGUGCCUAAUACAUGCAAGUCGAACGCUUCUUUCCUCCCGAGUGCUUGCACUCAACUGGAAAGAGGAGUGGCGGACGGGUGAGUAACACGUGGGUAACCUACCCAUCAGAGGGGGAUAACACUUGGAAACAGGUGCUAAUACCGCAUAACAGUUUAUGCCGCAUGGCAUAAGAGUGAAAGGCGCUUUCGGGUGUCGCUGAUGGAUGGACCCGCGGUGCAUUAGCCAGUUGGUGAGGUAACGGCUCACCAAGGCCACGAUGCAUAGCCGACCUGAGAGGGUGAUCGGCCACACUGGGACUGAGACACGGCCCAGACUCCUACGGGAGGCAGCAGUAGGGAAUCUUCGGCAAUGGACGAAAGUCUGACCGAGCAACGCCGCGUGAGUGAAGAAGGUUUUCGGAUCGCAAAACUCUGUUGUUAGAGAAGAACAAGGACGUUAGUAACUGAACGUCCCCUGACGGUAUCUAACCAGAAAGCCACGGCUAACUACGCGCCAGCAGCCGCGGUAAUACGUAGGUGGCAAGCGUUGUCCGGAUUUAUUGGGCGUAAAGCGAGCGCAGGCGGUUUCUUAAGUCUGAUGUGAAAGCCCCCGGCUCAACCGGGGAGGGUCAUUGGAAACUGGGAGACUUGAGUGCAGAAGAGGAGAGUGGAAUUCCAUGUGUAGCGGUGAAAUGCGUAGAUAUAUGGAGGAACACCAGUGGCGAAGGCGGCUCUCUGGUCUGUAACUGACGCUGAGGCUCGAAA